GCGGAGAGAGAGGCAGGUCUAGAUGCAGAUGGUCUGUUUCCCCUAACAACAGCAACGGCGGCGAGGAGAAAUCCUGGUCUCCGCCAGCUCCCGGCCAGACUCGUAAUCAGGCCACUAACGACAGCGGGGAGCGUAAAAGUUCUCUUCCCUACCCACCUCGCGUGAUGCGGUGACACAGAAUGAAAUUCACAACACACAUGGAGAAAAGGAAAACAACCAAUCCUUCCCCAGAACGGAACAGCUAAGAGCCAACGCUACUGAAAACCAUGGGGCAGGCAUCUCCACCGAGUGCAGGGAAGAGGCCAGGAGAAGACCCAGGAAAUAAAUUUAAAAAGGGACAGCCUUUGAGCUGGUCCCUGACCGAGAAUUCCACAUAAGAGAUUCCAUUUACCUACUUCAAUAACAUGGAUCGUAAAACUCUUAUUC
rnacentral:lncRNA from 10 species